UACCAGCACCCCGAGUGGUCGGGACGAUUUAUUGGGCCUAAAGCAUCCGUAGCCGGUCCUACAAGUCUUCCGUUAAAUCCACCUGCUCAACAGAUGGGCUGCGGAAGAUACUAUAGGGCUAGGAGGCGGGAGAGGCAAGCGGUACUCAGUGGGUAGGGGUAAAAUCCUCUGAUCCAUUGAAGACCACCAGUGGCGAAGGCGGCUUGCCAGAACGCGCUCGACGGUGAGGGAUGAAAGCUGGGGAGCAAACCGG
rnacentral:rRNA from 1 species